GACGAACCGUCCAAACGUUAUUCGGAAUCACUGGGCUUAAAGGGCGCGUAGGCGGCCGAGCGGGUCGCGGGUGAAAUCCCCCAGCUUAACUGGGGAACUGCCCUCGAUACCAUUGCGGCUCGAGGAAGGAAGGGGCAAUCGGAACUGUCGGUGGAGCGGUGAAAUGCGUUGAUAUCGACAGGAACGCCGGUGGCGAAAGCGGAUUGCUGGUCCUUUUCUGACGCUGAGGCGCGAAAGCCAGGGGAGCAAACGGG
rnacentral:rRNA from 1 species